GACGAACGCUGGCGGCGUGCUUAACACAUGCAAGUCGAACGGUCAAGCGCCUUCCUUGUUGGUGGGUGUGGAGGAGUGGCGAACGGGUGAAUAACACGAGAGUAACCUUCCCCCUUCUUCUGGAUAACCGCAUGACAGUGUGGCUAAUACGGGAUAUUCUGAGUCUGUCGCAUGAUGGGUCUGGGACGGAUAUUGUUUCGGUGGUGGAUGGGCUCGCGGCCUAUCAGCUUGUUGGUGGGGUGAUGGCCUACCAAGGCGGUGACGGGUAGCCGGCCUGAGAGGGUGGACGGCCACAGUGGGGCUGAGACACGGCCCGGACUCCUACAGGAGGCAGCAGUGGAGAAUAUGCAACAGUGGGCGAAAGGCUGAAGCAGCGACGCGGCGGGGGGGAUGGAGGCCGGCGCGUGGUGAACCUCUUUCGGCAGUGAAGCAGUCCUGCCUCGUUUGUGGGUGGGUUGACGGUAGCUGGAUAAGAAGCGCCGGCUAACUACGUG
rnacentral:rRNA from 1 species